rnacentral:tRNA from 1 species
UGGGAUGUAGCUCAGUGGUAGUGUGCUUGCCUAGAAUGUAUGAGGCCCUGGGCUCAACUCCCAGUACUGCAA